AUGAACGCUGGCGGCGUGCCUAAUACCUGCCAGUCGAGCGAACAGACGAGGAGCUUGCUCCUUCGACGUUAGCGGCGGACGGGUGAGUAACACGUAGGUAACCUACCUAUAAGACUGGGAUAACUUCGGGAAACCGGAGCUAAUACCGGAUAAUAUUUCGAACCGCAUGGUUCGAUAGUGAAAGAUGGCUUUGCUAUCACUUAUAGAUGGACCUGCGCCGUAUUAGCUAGUUGGUAAGGUAACGGCUUACCAAGGCAACGAUACGUAGCCGACCUGAGAGGGUGAUCGGCCACACUGGAACUGAGACACGGUCCAGACUCCUACGGGAGGCAGCAGUAGGGAAUCUUCCGCAAUGGGCGAAAGCCUGACGGAGCAACGCCGCGUGAGUGAUGAAGGUCUUCGGAUCGUAAAACUCUGUUAUUAGGGAAGAACAAACGUGUAAGUAACUGUGCACGUCUUGACGGUACCUAAUCAGAAAGCCACGGCUAACUACGUG
rnacentral:rRNA from 1 species